rnacentral:misc_RNA from 1 species
GGUCGGUAUAAUCCCAUCUUACUAUCAUAUAUACAUCCAUUGUAUUUGAACACAAUGAAUUUCUAGAGAUCAAACACAGAGAUAUACAACCUAACUUUUUUGUUUUUUUUUUUAUUUAAUAAACAAAACUAACAUUUCCACAAGUACAAAACAAGGUUACAUUUGGGAGUUUCAAGAACAAGAGAGGCCUGCAAAACUAAGGCUUUGUAAAAAGAAAAAACAACCCCAGAGGGUUGUCAUGGCAGAAAAGGAACUUCCUGCCAUGGCCAAAGCCCAUGAAAAGAGAGGCAUAUAUACCUACAACUGCCCAAAAGCAACCACCACCACAACAACAACACAAACAUAAACCCAACCAUCACGAGUUGAAAGGUUCAACAACGUGAGAGACUCGGUAAAACUACAAGUGCACACACAUAAAAGACUUAAGACAAUAUUGAAAAAGCUUCUACCGCUGCAAGAUUUGGCAAUCAAUGCAAGCAUAGAAGCUAAAAACUAGUGACAACAAGGACUAGGACUAGGACCAGACAUGAAUCUCUUAAUCCAAAAACUCAGCAUUUGUAUCUCAGGGAAGUAUGGUUGGAAAAACAGGAAAAAAAUUUCCCAAAAACAGCUUCAGUGAAGAAGCUGCAAAAAAAGAGAACCAACCACAUCCCCGGAAAAAGGAGCCGAGAUACUGGACUAUUAGAAGACCCAAGAUCAUGGACCAAAAAACUUUAUGCUAACACUAACAAAGAAAGACUAGUUAAACUUCCUUACUAAGCUCCAUCUUUCAAAGGAGCUCAACUUGUAAGUUGCAUUGACCCUGCACUUAAGAAAGGAUAUCACACCUCCAGAGCUGUUCCAAGAGGAGAUCAACACAGCUGCUACUGACCCCAUUGCAGUGCUGGAUGUUUAAGCCCAUGAGUGUCUGCCCCAACUUCUGCAGAAAGGGUACACUUUUGUCCGAAAGCAUAGAGCAACCUGACAAGGAGAGUAUCUGCAAAUUAAGUCGCACUGUACUGGCCAAAGAUGCAACACCUGAAUCAGUUAUACCACACUUUGAAACAUCAAGUUCCUUGAGCAACCAACAGUUGUUGGAAAUUGCUAACAAGGUCAUAUCAGUAACGUAUCGACACUCGUCAACAUUAAGAGACUCGAGACUUCCCCCAUGCAACUCAGUUAUGAAUGAAACUGAUCUGUCUGUAACAUUAACACAUCCACUUAGAUUCACCUUGACCAAACCAGCUUCACAGCUCUGAACAAGAGGGAAAAGACCCUCAUCAGUUACUUGAAGGAGUCCACUCAGCUCCAAAUGAGUCAGUUUGGGGCACAGCCUACCCAUUAUGGCCAAAGUAGCAUUACCAACUCCAGGACAGUUGCGGAUAGACAAAGACUGAAGUGAGUUGCAAGGCAACACAGAUGGAAAUCGACAGGCCAACUCUUUAACACCAAAGCAUUUCACCAUGGACAGAACCUUUAACUUCUCACCACAGCUCAAAAGAACACCAACAAACCCAGCCUGGGUGAUCCUGUGGCAUUCUUCUAAUUGGAGGUUCUCGAGUGCAACUGAACCUUUGGCAAAAGCAACCAAGCCAUUAUCUGACAGGAUUGUACAUUUUCGUAGGCAAAACAGCUUCAAGUUUGGACAACCUUUACCAAGAGCUUCAAGUCCCAAAUCAGUAACUCCAUGGCAAGCAGUUAUAGCAAGCGACCUCAGCUUCUGCAAACCUUGGCCAUUACCCAUGACCCAAAAUCCUCUCUCAUUUAUGUUUUGAAGACCAAUAAGGGCUAUGUCAGUGAUGGCAAUGCCAUAAUGUCCAAUAACAGCAAGGGCGAUGUCACUGAUGUUCAAUGCGUGAAGUUUCACCUUUGUCAAAACAUGACCAGCGGAUGAAAAGAGACUUGCAAUUCCUUGAUCUCCGAUGAGUGGGCAGUUUUUGAGAGACACAAACUUCAACUUAGGGCAAAAACGACCUACAGCUUGAAGAGUUUCAUUUCCAAUCUUUGAACAAGAUUCUAUCGUUAGAGAGGUCAAAUUAGGACAAUUCUUUGCGAUAGCCAUCAAGGACAUAUCAGUAAUUGCAGGGCAUUGGCAAAGAUCAAGCUUCUCCAACAGAUGACAUCCUUGAGCAAUCUCGGUUAAACCUUCAUCACUAACAGAAGAGACAUUCCAGAGAGAAAGAGCCCUUAGAGAAGGACAACCUCGAGCAAUAACCUUGAGGCCUGUAUCAGUCACACCACGGAUUGGGUUACUUCCUCGAAUAGAAAGCUUUCCUAACCCUCCAUGGCCUGGUGUUCCAACAGCAAUAGCAGCAAGUCGGACAUCUGUUGCUUUCUUUCCAUCAAGGCACCUGGAAAGAUGACCCUCUCCUUCAAUAUCUUGAGAUUCAGCCUCAGCAACUUCUGCAGCAUUAGAGUCCACUACCUCACCCUUCUUAACGCAGUCCACAGACUUAACAAGAGCAGUUUGGAUAGAUCUUUCCUCGGUUUCCAAAGAUGGAUUGGGAUUUGAGAUUACUGUUUCAUCCCCGCGGAUGCUGCUUAAGAGCAUAAGCCAGCGCUUGGAAACACAAGCAGAGGCACUCCUGUCUUUGCCAUCAGAAAGGCGCCUCAAUACCUCAAAAAGGCAUUCAUCAGGUAGGACAUCAAUGGAAGACAACUUGUGCUUCUUUUCACUGAAAACAAAAGGGACCGCAACACGAGACCUCUUGCAAGGAGGAAAAUAGACAUCCACAUGAUUCCUAAGGGACAGAAAUAGGCUGGAUUCCUUGGGACUUGGGUACACAGUCCCACCAUGGUCACCACUAAAAUUGAAGACUUUAGACAUGAGUAUGGUUGAAAAAGACUGGGGAAGUAGAAUCUGCAGUGUCCAGGACCAAAAAACCCUCUAUGGAGAGCAAAAAUUGACAGAUCAACCAAAAGAAACACAAUUAAAAGAGCUUGAACAACUGAUUGCAUCAGAAAAACAGGUAGCAAGAGAUCAUUUGAGAACCCUAUUGAAUAGGGCAAAAAGAGAGAGAAAAAAAAGAUAGACGAAUGAAUGAAGAGGGCGAACUGAGCUACUCAGCGCCUUUAUGCAGGUGAAGUGUGGUUUUCGGUACAUGACAAUACACGCUAUGAUAACCCACAUACAAUGUAUCUGCAUAAAGGCGCUG